rnacentral:lncRNA from 1 species
AGUACGUGGCCGAUUCUGAGUGUGAAGAGGACCGUCCCCUGUGAAAGGAAGAAGAGUGGAAAGGAGUCCCGGGUGGCCGGGAGGUGGCUGAUCUUAAAGGGAUAGAUGCUUUUGCUAUUCCCAAGCCGAAUUUAUUUGGAAAGAAGGGAUGAGAGUUGGGGGAAAGUGACUGCACAGGUCAUGUGUCCUUAGAAGUUCAGGAGUUGCCCAAUUUGUGGCUAGGAAGGUAUUAAGAAUUACAAUUACAGCUUUGAUAGAGAUGACAGUGAUCUGUAGAACAGAUAACCCAGAGCGCCCGGAACGCCUCUUAACCUGUUUAUAAAGGAGGAUCCCAGGCCUGGCGCACUUGAAGUAAUCUGCACAAGGUCACACAGUCACAAAAAUUUAUUAAGUCUCCCGGUUGGUUUGGCAUGCUUUACACUGCCCUCAGGAGAAAUAGAACGACAACGACCAAAGUGGGGAAGGUUCAAAUGUUUGACCAAAGCGUUUAAAAUUCUCUUAAAGUAGUUGCGAAUACCCUGAAGAUUUCAGAGCUGGUGUGUGGAAGAGUAAGAAGUUGCAUCCUUCAGCAGUGUACUCAGAACACCAACCAAACACUGGGAAGAUUUUUAAUGAUGUUGGCAGUUUGUGUACGCUGGUCUCCAUCUGCAUGAAGCACACUUAAUUUCCACUCAGCCCCAAUCCCUAUAAACCCAUUUCUCCCUUUAGUUCUCACCACAUUCCUUCUCUCUUCUGUACAACAAAUCUCUAAAGCGCCUUGUCUUCCUGUCCUCUCUCAUCUCACACACACUGCACAGGCAUUAGUAUUCCUCAGCUCCACCCAGAUUGCUCUGAUUCACUCACAUGGUUUUAAUAAAUUCGAAGAGGAGUCCCGUUUUUCCUCCU